rnacentral:rRNA from 1 species
UACGAAGGGUGCUAGCGUUGUUCGGAAUCACUGGGCGUAAAGGGUGCGUAGGCGGGUCUUUUAAGUCAGGGGUGAAAUCCUGGAGCUCAACUCCAGAACUGCCUUUGAUACUGAAGAUCUUGAGUUCGGGAGAGGUGAGUGGAACUGCGAGUGUAGAGGUGAAAUUCGUAGAUAUUCGCAAGAACACCAGUGGCGAAGGCGGCUCACUGGCCCGAUACUGACGCUGAGGCACGAAAGCGUGGGGAGCAAACAGG